rnacentral:rRNA from 1 species
GACAUGGCUCAGGACGAACGCUGGCGGCGCGCCUAACACAUGCAAGUCGAACGAGAGAGAAGGAGCUUGCUUCUUCGAUCGAGUGGCGAACGGGUGAGUAACGCGUGAGGAACCUGCCUCAAAGAGGGGGACAACAGUUGGAAACGACUGCUAAUACCGCAUAAGCCCACGGGUCGGCAUCGAUCUGAGGGAAAAGGAGUGAUCCGCUUUGAGAUGGCCUCGCGUCCGAUUAGCUAGUUGG